CUGGAAGUUGUCCUAAGGGCAUAUAUUUAUUCAAGAAAGUCGACUAUACCUUGGCAAGAACAGUGAAGUCUAUGAUAUUUGAGUCAUAACUCCUUCAGCCCUCCCCUUCCCCUUCCUCCCAGCACAAGAAAAAUGGAAGUUCCACUCUAGGUGGGUAUGGCCAAGAAAAUACUGUUCUCUCUCCCAUCAGCUUCCAAGGAAGGGCUACAGCAGCCCACCAAGAGGGACAACCAAUGCCCAUCCCCCACCCAUCCCUGUAUUCUCUUAGCUCCAAACCACAGAAGGUAAAAUCCUCGUGAGUGCAACCAGGGGAUCAUAGGUUCCCAUCCUCCACCCACCGCCUAUUCAUAUAGUAGAGACUCUACUCCAGGUGCCACAAGUUGAGAAUAUUAGAGCCUUGAUUGCCCUUAUCCCAGCUCAUUCAUACGGCAGAGAUUCCACACCAAGCUCCCACUUCCACUCAGUGUCUGACUCAUAAAGUAGGGGUGUCAUUCUGAGAUAAAUGGGCCGCUUUCCCUGCCUACCUCUCUACAACAGGAGCUCAGAUAUUUUGCCCAGCGGGGAGAGAUA
rnacentral:lncRNA from 10 species